CCUACGGGCGGCUGCAGUGGGGAAUAUUGCACAAUGGGGGAAACCCUGAUGCAGCGACGCCGCGUGAGCGAGGAAGUAUUUCGGUAUGUAAAGCUCUAUCAGCAGGGAAGAAAAUGACGGUACCUGACUAAGAAGCCCCGGCUAACUACGUGCCAGCAGCCGCGGUAAUACGUAGGGGGCAAGCGUUAUCCGGAUUUACUGGGUGUAAAGGGAGCGUAGACGGCUAUGCAAGUCAGAAGUGAAAGCCCGGGGCUCAACCUCGGGACUGCAUUUGGAACUGAGUAGCUAGAGUGCAGGAGAGGCAAGCGGAAUUCCUAGUGUAGCGGUGAAAUGCGUAGAUAUUAGGAGGAACACCAGUGGCGAAGGCGGCUUACUGGACUGUAACUGACGUUGAGGCUCGAAAGCGUGGGGAGCAAACAGGAUUAGAUACCCUUGUAGUC
rnacentral:rRNA from 1 species